rnacentral:lncRNA from 13 species
AUGUCCGGGGUCUUGCCCAAGAACUGUCAUAAUCACGGGACCAGCAGAAUCCUCCUCGCACAGGGGAACACAAAACAACCAAUGGGGAACAAGAUUGGCCAGGGAGUAGGGAAACCCCAUAGGUCAUGCCUCUACUCCAGGGACCCCCACCCCCCGGACCCCACGCCAGGGGGGAGGAACCCCAACAGGAAGGCAAGAAAAUUACUAUCAAUACUGCCCAUCUCACAGCCCUCAGGAGCUCUCUUUGGCCAUUACCUGCACGUGAAAAAAACAUGUAUCAUAUAUGAACAGAUUAAGUUGGCUGCUGCCAACAUUCUGAUUAAAAGUCAGUAUUAUCAACGCAUCCGUUAUUGUUUUAGAUGUGCCAAAAGAUGCAACACUGAAGAGGCUAAAAUUCAAGAAGGACAGCUAGAGGGUGAGAUCAGAUGGCAUUACACUUCAUGUCCUGCAAAGUAUGAGCCUCAUUUCUUAAUAAAGAGAAGACACGAAUGAGCUACAGGGAGAUGCUGAGGUGAUGUGUGGAAAGGAGACUGAAGGAGAGCUGAGGGGCAGGCAGACAGGGAGGGAGAGGAGCUGCAGGCAUUGCUGAAGGGAGAAGAAAUAAGAUUCAGAGAAGUCAAGUGUUACCAGCAGUUACCGUGUUUCAGCAGUAGAGACCAAAUUAUUAUAACCCUUGUAUCUCCCUCUCACAAAAACAAACAAACAAAAUGAAAAAAAAAAAAAAAAGCAGUCAAGACAGAUGUGGUGGGAGUUGGUGGUAAAGCACACUGUUUUGAUUGAAUACUAUUUCCAAAGAGAAAUGAGGGAACACACACUGCCUGCCACUCACUCCUGAGCUCUGUAACCCAGAGAGUACUUACAGAUAUAACAAAGAAGAAGCCUGGGUACAACAACAACAUCUUCAUCACAGCUUCAUCGCUUUAAUUUCUUGCUGGGUUUUCCUUGCACCUUAGGCAAUGCCAUUUGUUUAAACUCCCUCCUGCUACACUUUCAGUCUGCUGGGAAGAGCAAACCAGAUGUGCAGAAAUUGGUUGUAUUCACAUGCAAACAGAAUCAUUAAACUAUUAAUUCAAAAGGCAUCUUUAAACUUCACCUCCAAGCAGAAAUUCCACUACAUGAGGCACUCUUUAGUUUGUCAUUAGCUAGUAAUGGGUACACAUUAAGCAUGAAAUAGAAGUCAGUAAAAUCUUUAUGACUGUAAUAUUUAAAGCCAAGGCACUCAUCAUCACAAAUUAGAGUGGGAAGAGUAAUUUUCUAAGAAGUUCUGCUCCCAGACUGGCUUUCAAAGCUAAACUUUCAAGAGGAGAGUAGACAGCAGAUAAAAUAUCACAAGUCACCAUCUCCUGGGGAAGUACUGAAAUGCAGCGUGGCCCUUUGGUCACAAACAGUGGACUUCUGAAAAUUCCUGUGUAAGUUUUAAACAUUCAGUGGUAGCCAAUUCCUCCCAAAAUUAUCACUGAUGGUAGUGGGAGUGUGCCUGGGAAUAAAAGGUACAUCAGCAUCCUAUCUAAAUAAACUUCACAAACCCUUCUCCUUCCAAGGUGAAUUAUUAAAUAGUGGUGUGGCCAAGGAUGCUCACACCUCUGCCACAGUGGAUUAUCUGGAGGUAUCUAAGCACAGUGUUCUCCUUGCUGCAGCACAGAUGCUUUGGGGACCCAUUUAUCAGGACAGCUGGCAGUUUUCUCUGAACUGUGCCUGCUUGUUGAGCACUCUUAGAUCUGUUCAUCUGCAGAGAGAAAAUCUGUGUUUGGUCCAGUGGUCAUUUCAGACUAAUCCUCCAUCCUACAGAAGUAAUUUGUGGCUAUCGAUAAGGAGAAUAGGAUGCAAAGCAUGAACACAGAGAGGUCCUUUCUUGUUCAACACCCACCUUUCAGCGGCUCAAGUACCUGGCCAGGGCAAAUUAUGGUCAUUUCAGAGCAGGCUGGAACAGAAGGUCCAGAGCUACUCCUCCUGGGAAAACACUCUAUGGAGUCCGUUAAUGUAGAUCCACAUCAGUUUCUUUCCAACAUGACAAAGGAUUUCCCAGAUUGGCUGCAGGAUGUUUUCUUCCUCCAUCACAGACCUCCAGCAGCAGAAGAGAAGCCCUCUGGUUAACUGGAUCCCUCCACACAUGCGCAUGAAGCAACAUGAAAAGACUUGGCAGUGGUUGUUUCCUCCUCAGGAAACUCAGAGGGAGUGCAAUGCCAUCCAAACAGCAAUACUUGUGCUCCAGGGAUCACAGUACAGCUGAAAGAGGCUGCUAUGUCCUUAGGUUAGAUAUUAGGAGAAGUUUCUUCACCCUGAGGGUGGUUGAGCACUAGAACAGACUCCCCAGGGAAGUGGUCACCAACCCUGCCAGAGUUCAAGAAGUGUUCGGACAAUGCUCUUGGGCACAUGAUGUGAUUUUUGGGGAUGUCCUGUAUAGGAGAGAUAAGAGUUGGACUCGCUGGUCCUUGUGGGUCCCUUCCAACUCAGUUUAUUCAAUGGCUCUAUGAUUCUGUUAAAAGUAGCCAAGAAUUGUCACUUGGGCUUUGGAUCUGGAGGGCAGGACAACUUGACCCUGUCCAGAGCAUGGGUGCAAAAUCCCAGUAAAGACGGCUUGAGACUGCAUGCAAAAGCAGGCACCUCAGAGCACAGCCGCUUACCAGGCUCCAUCCCUGCACUCUAGGCAUGCUGGGCAGCAGGAAACAGUGUUUACACUACCUGAUACCUUGAACUGCCAUGAGCUGGCUGCAUGAUCCUGCCUUCUCCUUGUCCUCUAGGCUUUCUGAAAGUAUCUCCACAAAUCCUGCUGUCCUGGGUUGCAGUGUAUUCCGUUACCAUCCUCAUGAGAUGUUGAAACCAGGUGGGGCAGUGUUCCCUUGCCUCCUCCCUCUGGACUAUCUUCUGUUAAUGAGCCCAUCAACGCCUGGCCUCAUGACUCAUCAUCCCAUUGUGAGAUGCUCUACCCAAAGGGGAGGAACCAAGCAUUCCAUCCUGGAUAUAAUCUGAGAUUCCAAACACCACAGACACCAUUUCUACUGGAUUCCCAGAGGACAGGAGCUACAUAGCCACCACUGGACCUUCUGAGGAAGAGCAGACCCUUCUACAGGAUCACUGCUUUGACAGAACCACAUCCACCACUUCAGGAGGACUGCAGCCACCAUCUUACCGGACUGCUCGCACCACCCUGACUAACAGGGUGUCAGGUUGUAUCCUGACGCUGUCAGUUUGAACCAGUGUUUUCUGCCUCUUUUUUAUUUCCCCAUUAAAUUGUUAUUCUGACU